UGACUAGCUCAUGGUUGUGACAUAGCCUC
rnacentral:piRNA from 2 species